CAUGCCCAGGCAGCCUCCAAUCACGCCAUUCCCGCUCCGCUAGGCACAUCAACUAUCCCCGCCAUUAAUCACACUCGCAACCAACAAUCCGAUUCCCUCAUGGACUGCCCCUUCGAUCCAGACGAACGACCCGCUCGGCCACAUUCGUCAUCGCGCCGAACCAACACAUUGCCAACAGACGCCGCCGCCAUGUUUAUUGCCACGCGUUUGCUAGUCCAAAGUUUGAGCAGGUAAAAAGUGAGUGAUGUUGCGUUUGAGAUUUAUUCCACUCGGCGGAUGAGUUGUGAGUCGAAAAAAGUUCCUAUUGAGAAAUUAUAGAGUUCACGCACGUAAAACCCAUAAAGUGCGUCUUGGACCUCGACUUGUGAUCGAAAUCGAAAUUGUGAUUGUUGCUCUUCACCAGAAGACGCUGGUCGCCGGCUUCUUGGAUGUGGCGCGGAUGGCCGGCCACAUCCAUGGCUGCAGCCGACAGCGUGGUUCAGUGUUGCUUCCGCGUUAUUGAGUGUUUUCGUUUAUUGAUGCCAGUUCAAUUAGCAUUUAAGUUACCGUUGUCCACACGUUUGCCUCUGUGAUAAUUAAGAAACGCCAUCAUAAGUAUCACGUACUUCGAAAGACCAUGCAAGAUGCAUGCAAUAUGGUUCUAAUUUGAAGAACAUCUGCUCAAGGGAGUAUGGUUGGAGCUGUCUUUAAGUGUUUGAUUUAAUUGGUUAAUGUUUUCGGAUGCCAUUACUUAAGAUUUUUGCUUUCCAUCUUGGUUAACAGAUUUUUAUUUGGCUUAGAUACAAGCGUAAAUUGUGUUUUUUUUUUAAAUCUUUUUAGAGGAGCUAUCUUCCAUGUUGGACAUAAAUAAUAUGAUUAAUCAGAGAUGUGCAGACAGAGUGGAUAUGAUGGACAAAUUUGAAUUAUUUUCAUUAUAAAGAGAAUAAGGAAAUUGAAAAUAAAUGAAUAGGGAAGUGAAA